rfam:Triticum aestivum genome assembly, contig: Triticum_aestivum_CS42_TGACv1_scaffold_271826_3DS
CAUGUACUCCCUCCGUCCGGAAAUACUUGUCGGAGAAAUGUAUGAAAAUGGAUGUAUCUAGAACUAAAACACACCUAGUAGAUACAUCCACUUCUCGGACGAGUAUUUUUGGACGGAGGGAGUAUACC